GGGGCUCCACCCGUGGCUUGACAAGUAAUUCUCCCUUGCUGUUAGUCUCCGGUGACUGAACGUUUCCGGGAAUGGACGGAGAAGGAGCUUCAGGCGAGUCUUCGUCGGGAAAUCAGCUAGAGAAUUGGACCGAAGAGCAGGAUCGGCUGAAGAAGAAACUGAUUGCGUACGAUGACUUCCCAUGGAAGUUAUCUUCAUCAUUGGAACUGCCUCAGGGAUCGGAGAUGCUAAAUUACGUUGGAGGUGUGGACAUGAGCUUUUCCAAGGAAGAUCCCUCCAUCGCCUGUGCUUGUCUCGUCGUUCUCGAGCUACCUUCUCUUCGCGUAGUCCACCAUGACUUCUCUCUCCUCCGCCUCCAUGUUCCCUAUGUCCCUGGAUUUCUCGCCUUUCGUGAGGCUGCGGUUCUCUUGCAGAUUCUGCAAAAAAUGAGGGAUGAUCACCAUCCUUUCUACCCUCAGGUACUGAUGGUGGAUGGAAAUGGAAUACUUCAUCCACGAGGAUUUGGCCUGGCGUGUCACUUAGGUGUUCUUGCUGACAUUCCUACCAUUGGGGUCGGGAAAAACCUGCAUCAUGUGGAUGGUCUGAACCAAUCUGAGGUUAGACAGUCGCUACAGCUCAAAGAAAACCAGGAUAAGCAAGUUAUCACUUUGGUAGGGAACUCUGGAUUUACGUGGGGAGUAGUAAGUGACUUUUCUUGAACAUUUGUCAAUAUGCUGUCGUGUCUCGUUGGUAAUACCUCUUUCUACUAGUAUCAGACUUUCCAACGAAACUUUUCCCUAGUUGUGGUUUGAAUAAUCUUAUUUGAGAAAGUGAAUUGUGAAUUUAUGGUCGAAGUUCCGCAAAUUCUUUCCAACAGGCAUUUAGGCCAAUUCUGAGUUCUCUGAGGCCCAUAUACGUUUCGGUUGGCCAUCGCACAUCGCUUGACUCUGCGGUUAAGAUUGUCAAGAUGACCUGCAAGUACCGUGUUCCGGAACCUAUUAGACAGAUAUAAGAUCAAGAGCAUAUCUCCAAAAGCAUCAACUUUGUCUUUUAAAAGAACUGGGACCACGCGAUAAGGACUGAACACUAGUCAGUAAAACAACCAAAGAAUGCUGGGAAAACUAUUCCAUAUUAAACAGGAUUCUGCAAUGUCUUUACCCAAUAUUAUUCACUGGUGGACAGUUUCACGGCCCUGGAGACCGGGCAGUAAGUUUCUCCUUUGUUUAUCUCAUUGACUCUAACCGAGAACGGAGGAGUUUUGUUGUAUAUUGGUUGUAUAGCGUCUUGGUAUUUUGGUUGUUUCUCUUAAAAGAGUUUGGGGUUCUCCACGUCAAAUCCGCUGGUUAUUUGGUUCGGUAUUUCUCUUGGUUCAUCAUCUGUAACUUGUAUCUCAUUCAGUAAUAACUAAUAAAGCAGACUCAUUUCUAA